rnacentral:rRNA from 1 species
AUUGAACGCUGGCGGCAGGCCUAACACAUGCAAGUCGAGCGGAGCGGCGGUGGCGUGCGUAUUGCUUAGGACUCUGCCUGGUCCUGGGGGAUAAGGUCAGGUAAUGGGCGCUGAUACCGCAUACUAUCAGAUUAGCCUAGGUCGGAUUAGCUAGAUGGUGGGGUAAAGGCCUACCCAGGCGACGACCCCUAACUGGGCUGAGAGGAUGAGCAGUCACACUGGAACUGAGACACGGUCCAGACUCCUACGGGAGGCAGCAGUGGGGAAUAUUGGACAAUGGGCGAAAGCCUGAUCCAGCCAUGCCGCGUGUGUGAAGAAGGUCUUCGGGUUGUAAAGCACUUUAAGUGGGGAGGCGUUACCAGCAGAAUAAGCACCGGCUAACUUCGUGCCAGCAGCCGCGGUAAUUC